AUCAAAUUUGAGCUAUAGUUAAGGGACUCAAAGUGAACUUAUUCCACACCCCUUGUUGGGCUUACAAAAGCUUUUGAGGUGGGCCGGUUUUCAGGAUCGAAGAUUCGUCCGAUUGAGCCCAUUACACCAGACGAGGAAAAGGCCAGCUCUCUCGAGCCUCCGCCCUCCAGUCCUCCACGAUCCAGCCGCCGUCGCCGCCGCGCGCCAUGGCUAGCGCCGCCCUCUCGCCAUCCUCUCCGUCCCCACGCUCCGGCCACAGAUGGCUACUACAUUCCACCCGACCAAACUUCGGUCUGCUCGGGCGGGCAGCGUGGAUCCGCUUGAUCGGUCAGCUCUGCAUCCUUACAAGUUACAACCCCCAAUCGGAGGAAGGCGGCAGCACCAGCUCCAGCAGCGAUGGCCCAAUGGGAGACGAUUGAAAUGACGAGGCAGCGCGAGAUUCCAAGCCUUUGCUAGUCCCUACUCUCGUCGUCCCCUUCAUCAGCCACAACACAGUCAACUCAAUCCCCCCUCUCCUCGUUCCAGGUGAGUUAAACAUGCCUGGAUGCUGAUAUGUGAAGGUGUCCCAGAUGCUUGGUCCUCUGCCCCCCUCUGCUGCUCCACCCUCGCACUGCAUGUGUGAAGCAACGGCCGAUUCUUCAGGAAGAAUGAUGCGGAAGGGAAGCCUAACCUGAUAGGACGCGGAGGACGUCCCGAAGAUGAACCCCUUGGGGAAGCUUCUCCGGCUAAUCGGCGGCAGCUCGCCGGCUUCGACGCAGGCGGCAGCUAGGAGGAGGAGGAGGAGGAGGAGGAGGAGGAGAAUACCGCCGGACAUCGCCACUGCCCCGGCAACCGCCAUCUGAACGAAGCUUGACCUGCAAU